rnacentral:rRNA from 1 species
AUGACGUCAAAUCAUCAUGCCCCUUAUGACCUGGGCUACACACGUGCUACAAUGGAUGGUACAACGAGUCGCAAGGUCGCGAGGCCAAGCUAAUCUCUUAAAGCCAUUCUCAGUUCGGAUUGUAGGCUGCAACUCGCCUACAUGAAGCCGGAAUCGCUAGUAAUCGCGGAUCAGAACGCCGCGGUGAAUACGUUC